rnacentral:rRNA from 1 species
CAUAGCGACUAUCGUGGCAUAUCAAUAAGCGGAGGAAAAGAAACUAACAAGGAUUCCCCUAGUAACGGCGAGUGAAGCGGGAAGAGCUCAAAUUUGAAAUCUUAAAGGGUUUCCCUUUACGAAUUGUAGUUUAAAGAAGUGUUUUCUGUUGGAGUUUCGGUAAAAGUUCUUUGGAAUAGGACACCAUAGAGGGUGAGAAUCCCGUAUUUGACCGUUACUUUCCAGCUGUGUGAUACACUUUCGAAGAGUCGGAUUGUUUGGGAAUGCAGUCCAAAAUGGGUGGUAAAUUUCAUCUAAAGCUAAAUAUUGGCGAGAGACCGAUAGCGAACAAGUACCGUGAGGGAAAGAUGAAAAGAACUUUGAAAAGAGAGUUAAACAGUACGUGAAAUUGUCAAAAGGGAAGCGUUUGACACCAGUGUUGUUUAGUUGAAAAUCAAUUCAAUAAUUUUUGAUUUUGAGUAGUAUUGACUUCAUCAGCUUGCUGCUUUCUUUUCGGAAAUUAUUGAAUGCACUUUUCAGUUAACAAGUCAACAUCAAUUUCUUUGUUGUAAAAGGGUAAGAGGAAGGUGGCUUACGCUUCGGCGUAAGUGUUUAUAGCCUUUUACCUCUGCAAUCGGAGAGAUUGAGGACAGCAGCGUAGACUCUUCGGGGUUAGAUACACUUGUGCUAAGCUAUAGCCUUGUAUAGACAACUUGUUGACUAUGCUCAGUCAUGUAGCUUACUCGCUUGUGCUAUUUUACCUACGCUUAGGAUGUUGAUAGUCACAGCGUGUAC